rnacentral:rRNA from 1 species
UUUAUGGAGAGUUUGAUCCUGGCUCAGGAUGAACGCUGGCGGCGUGCCUAAUACAUGCAAGUCGAGCGAACGGAUGAGAAGCUUGCUUCUCUGAUGUUAGCGGCGGACGGGUGAGUAACACGUGGAUAACCUACCUAUAAGACUGGGAUAACUUCGGGAAACCGGAGCUAAUACCGGAUAAUAUUUUGAACCGCAUGGUUCAAAAGUGAAAGACGGUCUUGCUGUCACUUAUAGAUGGAUCCGCGCUGCAUUAGCUAGUUGGUAAGGUAACGGCUUACCAAGGCAACGAUGCAUAGCCGACCUGAGAGGGUGAUCGGCCACACUGGAACUGAGACACGGUCCAGACUCCUACGGGAGGCAGCAGUAGGGAAUCUUCCGCAAUGGGCGAAAGCCUGACGGAGCAACGCCGCGUGAGUGAUGAAGGUCUUCGGAUCGUAAAACUCUGUUAUUAGGGAAGAACAUAUGUGUAAGUAACUGUGCACAUCUUGACGGUACCUAAUCAGAAAGCCACGGCUAACUACGUGCCAGCAGCCGCGGUAAUACGUAGGUGGCAAGCGUUAUCCGGAAUUAUUGGGCGUAAAGCGCGCGUAGGCGGUUUUUUAAGUCUGAUGUGAAAGCCCACGGCUCAACCGUGGAGGGUCAUUGGAAACUGGAAAACUUGAGUGCAGAAGAGGAAAGUGGAAUUCCAUGUGUAGCGGUGAAAUGCGCAGAGAUAUGGAGGAACACCAGUGGCGAAGGCGACUUUCUGGUCUGUAACUGACGCUGAUGUGCGAAAGCGUGGGGAUCAAACAGGAUUAGAUACCCUGGUAGUCCACGCCGUAAACGAUGAGUGCUAAGUGUUAGGGGGUUUCCGCCCCUUAGUGCUGCAGCUAACGCAUUAAGCACUCCGCCUGGGGAGUACGACCGCAAGGUUGAAACUCAAAGGAAUUGACGGGGACCCGCACAAGCGGUGGAGCAUGUGGUUUAAUUCGAAGCAACGCGAAGAACCUUACCAAAUCUUGACAUCCUUUGACAACUCUAGAGAUAGAGCCUUCCCCUUCGGGGGACAAAGUGACAGGUGGUGCAUGGUUGUCGUCAGCUCGUGUCGUGAGAUGUUGGGUUAAGU